CCUACGGGUGGCAGCAGUGGGGAAUAUUGCACAAUGGGGGAAACCCUGAUGCAGCGACGCCGCGUGAGUGAAGAAGUAUUUCGGUACGUAAAGCUCUAUCAGCAGGGAAGAAAAUGACGGUACCUGACUAAGAAGCCCCGGCUAACUACGUGACAGCAGCCGCGGUAAUACGUAGGGGGCAAGCGUUAUCCGGAUUUACUGGGUGGAAAGGGAGCGUAGACGGCAGUGCAAGUCUGGAGGGAAAGGCGGGGGCUCAACCCCCGGACUGCUCUGGAAACUGUACGGCUGGAGUGCAGGAGAGGGAAGUGGAAUUCCUAGUGUAGCGGUGAAAUGCGUAGAUAUUAGGAGGAACACCAGUGGCGAAGGCGGCUUACUGGACUGUAACUGACGUUGAGGCUCGAAAGCGUGGGGAGCAAACAGGAUUAGAUACCCGAGUAGUC
rnacentral:rRNA from 1 species